rnacentral:lncRNA from 1 species
UUUAGAGAAGAUGAAACAAUAUUGACAAAAAGUUAAAACUAAGGAAAGAUUCCAGGACUUAACAAGUUUAAGAUCUUCAUAAAUCCUUGACUUUCAAAGAUAAUUGACCAUAACUAUCUUGUAGGGCAACAAAUAACACCUGAGUAACAGAGAUAAAGUGAGGAUGUGUGCCACCCAUAUCCUCCAUAGUUCAAAUAAUUAGUUUUGCUUUCAUAAAAAAAAAACAAUUUUCUAAGUUGUUCAAAGAGAUUAAUUUGUUGAAUAAUUAUAGAUUAAAAAAAAAAAAAAACCCCUUUUGAGAAACCUAUACUUUAAAUGUAUGCCUGAUGCUUCUCCAAGACCCAGGUAUGUAUGUAUUGACCCCACUCCCUGAUUCAUCGGAAUUCAAUAAAUACAUGUCUUUUCCUCUAAAUGAAGGGCAUAGGCUCAGAGUAGCAUCUGAAUUUUGACCAUAAUUCUGCAAAGAAAUCGUACAUGGCAAAUAUAGCUGCACUUACUUGAAUCAGCAAUGCAUGAUUUAAUGUUUUAACUAUUUAGGUACAUAAUCAGAGUCUCUCACAGAAGAAGGUACUAUUUAUCUUCUCUUUUUAAAGAGUAGAUGAGGAUACUCAACAGAAAAAUCCUUGCUUGAAAUUCUUUAGUAAUUCCCAAAGCAGAAUAAAUGUAUAAAAUGAGAUUAGGUCAUGAAACAUUUUUUAUGUUUAAAUUCUCAUCUCUAAACACCUCUAUUAACAGCAGAUUUGAGUUGUGACCAUCCUCCUAAUAAAAAAUGAAAUCUCUAAGAUUGAGAAACAUUUGUAAAUAAUGGAUCCUUUAAAUAUCCCUGAACUUUAUUCUAAAACUUAUAAGGAGAAAUAAUAAUUGCUUUAUAUAACCACUGAUACCAUUUUAGCAUUUGAUGAAGAUGUUAAUUUAUGGUUGGUUAGCAGUUUAUGGCUGUCAUUAGUUUUUCAGUUUGGUCCACAUUAGAAAUCUAUUUUUCUUUUUUAUUUUAAUUUGAG